rnacentral:lncRNA from 1 species
AUCAAACACACUAAAUUUCUAAUGAAGAUUAGAUUUCUGUUGAUUGUCAAAAUAUGAUUAUAAAAGUAAUUUCAAACAGAAUAAACAUCAAAACAUCCAAAAUGUAUACCAUAUACAUCUAUCAAAAGUUGGAUUACUAGGGUCACUAUAGCUCUAAGAGAGAAUCCUAGCAUCCAAAGAGAGCAGGUCAGGGUGAUCUAGAAUAAAAGUCCAAAGUUUCCAACU